CUCCAGACUCCUACGGGAGGCAGCAGUGAGGAAUAUUGGUCAAUGGGCGAGAGCCUGAACCAGCCAAGUCGCGUGAAGGAUGACGGCCCUACGGGUUGUAAACUUCUUUUGUCAGGGAGCAAUUGAGUCCACGUGUGGGCUUAGCGAGAGUACCUGAAGAAAAAGCAUCGGCUAACUCCGUGCCAGCAGCCGCGGUAGUACGGAGGAUCCGAGCGUUAUCCGGAUUUAUUGGGUUUAAAGGGUGCGUAGGCGGUUUGAUAAGUUAGAGGUGAAAUGUCGGGGCUCAACCCCGAAACUGCCUCUAAUACUGUUGGACUAGAGAAUAGUUGCGGUAGGCGGAAUGUAUGGUGUAGCGGUGAAAUGCUUAGAGAUCAUACAGAACACCGAUUGCGAAGGCAGCUUACCAAACUAUAUCUGACGUUGAGGCACGAAAGCGUGGGUAGCAAACAGGAUUAGAUACCCCAGUA
rnacentral:rRNA from 1 species